UACGUAGGGGGCAAGCGUUGUCCGGAUUUAUUGGGCGUAAAGAGCGUGUAGGCGGCCAUACAGGUCAGCUGUGAAAACUCGAGGCUCAACCUCGAGACGUCGGUUGAAACCGUAUGGCUAGAGUCCGGAAGAGGAGAGUGGAAUUCCCGGUGUAGCGGUGAAAUGCGCAGAUAUCGGGAGGAACACCGGUGGCGAAGGCGGGUCUCUAGUACGGUACUGACGCUGAGACGCGAAAGCGUGGGGAGCGAACAGG
rnacentral:rRNA from 1 species